rnacentral:misc_RNA from 1 species
AAAAAAAUCCCCCCGUCAGUUUGAUGCACAAACCGCUUUAUAGCCUGCGAUCCUGAAAUACUGAAAUGAACUUAAUAAUGAUUUGUGUCUAGGAAUAAAAGCAAACAAUGAGGACAGCAGUAUGCAUGUUGCUUAUCCUAUUGGGGAUAUAUACGGUGGAGGCCGAACUUCAAACCAUAGACAUCUCAUACACAACAUGCCGUUUCUUCAACACGUAUCGGCCGUACAGUAAUGUAGAAUACAAUCUUGUUUGGCGUGGUAAAGAUCUGGAUGAAACUGAGAGUUGCAACAUUCGAUUUAAACCUUUUGACGAAGACCACAAAAUUUGUAUUGAGUCUCAAACCGUUCUGCUCGAGGAUUGUGGCAUCAAGAUGAUGUCUUACGACGGAAAAUAUGCAUAUCAUGUGAAAAAGACCUAUUCCUGCAAUGACAACUAUGCGAAGUUUUGUGGUAUUGUGGACUCGUAUGUUGGAAUCAAACUAAUUAUACCCAGCAGCAACCGUACCCGAGAUACAAUUAACACUAUCAGACUGAAAGUCACCGUGGUGUACCAUUUUAAUAUCCUAAACCAUUUGAACCUGAUAUCAGGUGUUGCAUCAGCGAUAUUUGUUUGGGUGCCUUGGAUCGCAGCUAUUUACAUUUUAUGUCGACGAGUAAAAAUGAAAGUACUUCGGUCACCAUAUUCAAGACUAAGGUCAACAAACAAUGAUUUGACAACUUGCUCUGACUCUGAAGAAUGCAGAAAUCCCAGUGACGUGAUAUCCCGGCCUUCGGAAGAUGAUAACCCCCGGAGACAGAUAUCUAGAACGGAUAUUGUCGUACAUACGUAACAGACUAAUUGUGAAAUUAAAACUAAGCAAUAAACUGUAUGUUGAAGCCUUG